GGGGAUGUAAAGGUUUCGACAGGGGUGCGUGUGGUAUAGAUAGCGAGUCGGCGUUCCAUGAGGCCGUUAAACGGUGGGAAAACAUUUAAAAAACAUUUAAACGCAGAAGAAAAUUUUGCAUUAGCUGCAUAAGCUACGUCCCUCAUACUUGUGCCUACCAAGUGUGAAUGGACGUCAAACAGUAGGCUGGUCUAAUUUAGUUGUUCAUAUGAAUUAGGCGAGACAAUAUGAACUGGGGUUGUGUAGCUUGUCUGUGAGCGAUAGCAACCUGAGACUUAAAUCAUAGACUGUGCUCGGAGAAGUCUAUAUGGCAACACUUUUGGACAGGGGUUCGACUCCCCUCAUCUCCACCA
rnacentral:tmRNA from 1 species